rnacentral:lncRNA from 1 species
UAUAUUCAUGUAUUGAAUAAUAUAAUUUGAGACUCAAUUUGAGAUAUUUUUGUACUAGAUCUAAUAUGAGAAUUACUUGCUCCCAAAGUUUCUCACUUAUUAGUUGUGAACUUUCUCUAUAAAUAGAGAGCUCACACAGUGCUUUACAUACACCGAAAUUCACAGUUGAUGCUUCCUGUGCUUUUCCUCUCUUCUCCCUCCUUCGACUUGUGUUGACAAGUCGUUCUCCUUUUUCUACUCCUUUCUGUCCCUUCGGAAUUAAGAGUGUUCUUAAGACCAUAGUCCAUCGUCGGUUUAU